CGCUAGGUGGACAGCCUUCCCAGACGCAGCAUGGGCUUGUCUGAAUGGCAUCUGCAGUUAGAAGUACAUACAACAAAAAGGAUGUAGCCUAAAAAGGAAACACUUAAAUACUUUGAUCUAAGGGGAGAAGACUUAUUUUACUACUGCCAGACUGAUCAGAGGCAUGACCUGGAAGUUAUGAGGAAAUUAGAGGAACUGGACCUUUAGUCUGCGUUCGUUGGCAGUGUGGAUAUCCUCAUCACUUUUGAUCACCACAAAGGCUCCCCUGGACCAUUCUUCAGAAAUCUACAUCAGCAAAAGACACCGGAACGGAGACACUAAAAUGGGAGAUCUCCUCCAGGCAACUGUUUGGGGGCAUGGAGCAGCCUAGGCACAACAUGGGUUAGACUGCAUACAACUGAACGGGAAGCAGAGAUAAGCCAAGCGUCAGGACAGAUGCAGGACCCCCAACUUUAUAA